UUAGACAAUUUAGCUGAACGAACGGUCUAUGUACCGACGUCAUAUCCUUCAAACGUCUGCCUUAUCAACUUUCGACGGUAGGCUAUAAGCCUACGGUGGUUAUAACGGGUAACGGAGAAUCAGGGUUUGAUUCCGGAGAGGGAGCCUGAGAAAUGGCUACCACAUCCAAGGAAGGCAGCAGGCACGCAAAUUACCCACUCCCGGCAAGGGGAGGUAGUGACGAAAAAUAACGAGCAGGUCUUUUUAUGAGUUCCUGCAUUGUAAUGGGAACAAGUUAAAUCUUUUAUCGAGGAUCUAUUGGAGGGCAAGUCUGGUGCCAGCAGCCGCGGUAAUUCCAGCUCCAAUAGCGUAUAUUAAAGUUGUUGCGGUUAAAAAG
rnacentral:rRNA from 1 species